UCCCAGACUCCUACGGGAGGCAGCAGUGAGGAAUAUUGGUCAAUGGCCGAGAGGCUGAACCAGCCAAGUCGCGUGAGGGAUGACGGCCCUACGGGUUGUAAACCUCUUUUGUCGGGGAGCAAAGAGAGUCACGUGUGGCUCAUUGAGAGUACCCGAAGAAAAAGCAUCGGCUAACUCCGUGCCAGCAGCCGCGGUAAUACGGAGGAUGCGAGCGUUAUCCGGAUUUAUUGGGUUUAAAGGGUGCGCAGGCGGAGGUGCAAGUCAGUGGUCAAAUUGCGGGGCUCAACCCCGUACUGCCGUUGAAACUGCAUCCCUUGAGUGCGCGAGAAGUAUGCGGAAUGCGUGGUGUAGCGGUGAAAUGCAUAGAUAUCGCGCAGAACUCCGAUCGCGAAGGCAAGUGUCCGGGGUGCAACUGACGCUGAGGCUCGAAAGUGCGGGUAUCAAACAGGAUUAGAUACCCGUGUACG
rnacentral:rRNA from 1 species